rnacentral:rRNA from 1 species
AUGCACGCUGGCGGCGUGCCUCAUACCUGCCAGUCGAGCGAACAGACGAGGAGCUUGCUCCUCUGACGUUAGCGGCGGACGGGUGAGUAACACGUGGAUAACCUACCUAUAAGACUGGGAUAACUUCGGGAAACCGGAGCUAAUACCAGAUAAUAUAUUGAACCGCAUGGUUCAAUAGUGAAAGACGGUUUUGCUGUCACUUAUAGAUGGAUCCGCGCCGCAUUAGCUAGUUGGUAAGGUAACGGCUUACCAAGGCAACGAUGCGUAGCCGACCUGAGAGGGUGAUCGGCCACACUGGAACUGAGACACGGUCCAGACUCCUACGGGAGGCAGCAGUAGGGAAUCUUCCGCAAUGGGCGAAAGCCUGACGGAGCAACGCCGCGUGAGUGAUGAAGGUCUUCGGAUCGUAAAACUCUGUUAUUAGGGAAGAACAAAUGUGUAAGUAACUAUGCACGUCUUGACGGUACCUAAUCAGAAAGCCACGGCUAACUACGUG